AACAGCCUUUGCCCUCCUGUUUAUAUGCUUCCUUCAAAUACUGGAAGGCCACAGUGAGGUCUCCACAAUGAAGUCUUCUCUAAGCUAAACAAGCCCAGUUCCCUCAACCUUUCUUCAUAGGAGAAGUGCUACAGCCCUCUGAUCAUCUACCUGAUCUCAUAACUAGUGAGACACCACCACCGCAUCUCCAGAGAAGGAGAACAACUUGUCAUCCUCAGUUCUCCCAGCCUGCUGCAGUGAGAAGACCAUGGCCACAGAAGAGGCAUGGAAAUGUUCCAUCUGCAGUGAUGUGCAACAGGACAGUGCCUACGUGAUUCUGUGUAAUCACAUGUUCUGCACUGCCUGCAUUCAUCAGUGGGCAAGGCUGAGAGACAGCUGCCUGCUGUGCAGUAGGGCCAUGCAGAACAUCCGGGUCCCCGUGCGGGGAGACCCCCUCCACCGUCCCCUGAGCAGAUGGCCAAAGAGCAGGAGAGAGUGGGCGGCCUCCUGCCAAAGGUUUGGGCAGCACUUUUCAGGAUCGGAUGAGACAUCCUCGACCUGGUGCUGCCCUGGCUGGAGCAGGAAUUACGCUGCACUGGAUCAACUUUCUGAAAAGCAUGAGCCUGGCAUUCCUGUGCCAGGUGGGGCCACAGACAGGGACACCCUGGUCCAGUGCACAGAGCACGCCCUGGGACCCAUCAGCGCACCGCUCAUCGACGCCCUCGUCAGAACCAUCGAGAGUCGGUGCGGCCAGCGGGCCCGGAGGCUGCUGGGCCUCGAAGAUCCCAGCGCUGCCCAGGCGCAGGAUGACGGCCCCGCGGCCCCGUCCGGUCCCGCCGCCUCCCCGCAGGGUACCGUUGUCGCCAGCGCUGCGCCUUCCAGCAGCUCUGCGGGUCCAGACGCAGAAGAGCUCCCCGGCACGUCCAGCGGGGCCACCGGCGGGGUUGCAGGCGAGCUCCCUGCCGCACCCAGCUCUGGGGAGCGGGAGCAGCCCAGCGAGGAGCCGGGUCCCGAGGCAGCCGGUCCCUCUGAGCAGGGCCGCAGCCGCAGCUCCUCCCCUCGCGCCUCUAGUGGGGCUUACACGCCGUUCCAAUAAAAAUAAAAGCAUAGAA
ensembl:lncRNA